rnacentral:rRNA from 1 species
GACGAACGCUGGCGGCGUGCUUAACACAUGCAAGUCGAACGAAAAUACCAAGCUUGCUUGGUUGAUUAGUGGCGAACGGGUGAGUAACACGUGAGUAACCUGCCCCUUACUUUCCUGGAUAACUGCUCGAAAGGGUAGCUAAUACGGGAUAUUCUGACCAGCCUGCAUGGGUUGGUUUGGAAAGGUUGUUUUUCUGGUAAGGGAUGGGCUCGCGGCCUAUCAGCUUGUUGGUGGGGUGAUGGCCUACCAAGGCUUUGACGGGUAGCCGGCCUGAGAGGGUGGACGGUCACACUGGGACUUAGAUACGGCCCAGACUCCUACGGGAGGCAGCAGUGGGGAAUAUUGCACAAUGGGCGCAAGCCUGAUGCAGCGACGCCGCGUGAGGGAUGAAGGCCUUCGGGUUGUAAACCUCUUUCGUCAGGGAACAAGGCACUGCUUUUUUGGUGGUGUUGAGGGUACCUGGAUAAGAAGCGCCGGCUAACUACGUG